AUCAUCUGGAGAUCUUGUUAAAACACAGAUUCUGGUUCAGUAGGUUAGGGUGGGACCUGAGAUUCUGCAUUUCUAACCAGCUCCCAGAUGGUGGCAAU
rnacentral:miRNA from 1 species